GGCUGGUGCGAGUGCAGUGGUGUUUAUAACUAAUAGAUCACAACCAGUGGCAGAUUUCUUUGUUCUUUCUCUACUCCCAUUGCUUUACUUGACUAGCCGCAC
ensembl:misc_RNA Y_RNA Y RNA